UUGGAGGGCAAGUCUGGUGCCAGCAGCCGCGGUAAUUCCAGCUCCAAUAGCGUAUAUUAAAGUUGUUGCAGUUAAAAAGCUCGUAGUUGAAUUUCGGGACCAAUAUGUCGGUCGUGCUUCGGUACGUACUUGCAUUAUUGGUUUCUCCCUUCUGAAGAACCAUGAUGUCAUUAAUUUGGUGUCUUGGGGAAUCAGGACUGUUACUUUGAAAAAAUUAGAGUGUUUAAAGCAGGCUCACGCUUGAAUACAUUAGCAUGGAAUAAUGAAAUAGGACGUUUGAUUCUAUUUUGUUGGUUUCUAGGAUCGACGUAAUGAUUAAUAGGGAUAGUUGGGGGCAUUAGUAUUCAAUUGUCAGAGGUGAAAUUCUUGGAUUUAUUGAAGACUAACUACUGCGAAAGCAUUUGCCAAGGAUGUUUUCAUUAAUCAAGAACGAAAGUUAGGGGAUCGAAGACGAUCAGAUACCGUCGUAGUCUUAACCAUAAACUAUGCCGACUAGGGAUCGGAUGAUGUUAAUUUUUUAAUGACUCAUUCGGCGCCUUACGGGAAAC
rnacentral:rRNA from 1 species